CCCCAACACCCCGCGCCCCGCGGCCGCUGCCCAGGGGUCCUUCCCGGGCACGGCGCGGGGAAGCAGAGGGCCCCCGGGCCAUCUCCGCGGCCUCCCGCCCCACUGGCUCGUCCUCCUACCGCGGCCCCAUCCGGAGCUGCGCUAGGGCGAGUCCCUGCUGCGCCCGCCAAGCCUCCCCAGCACUUGCUCCUGGCAGGUGCCCCACUCCAAGGCAGGGCCGGGAGAGUGGGGGCCGUUCUGCUGCCCUAAGGGCGGGAGGGAGAGGGUCCCAAACAGAGUGCUGGCCCCCCGAAGAAAGCAACCCAGGGUUUGUCCAAGCGAUAACGGGCUGGGCUUGGCGGGGCGGGGCCUCGCAGCGGGCAGGAGUGUGGGGUGCCCCUGGAGCGUCUGGGCAGGGCCGGGAUGUGGCCGGGUAGCUCCCAAGAGCUGGGAAUCGCCACCUGCCCUUCCGACUGGCACCCAGUGUGCCCACACAGCCCUGCAGGGACAAGGGGGGACCAGAGGCCUCUGCUGGGAGCUGGGGCCUCCUCCCUGGGGAGCACCCAGAGGAUGGAAGAAGUCACCUUUCCCCAGCGUCCAGUUCAGGGAGUGGGUGAGGGGGCCGUAGUGGUGGGUGCCAGACUAGCUACGUGGAGUCCUGCUGGGGAUGUACAUGGGCCGCUAGCCAGGCCCAGAACAGGUGCAGGGGCAGCAGGGGCUCAGCUACAGAGAGUUACCCUGUCCUUCUCCCAAGACUACCCUCGGCCAGCAUGACCCUGCCCUGCCCAUCCUGUGUGGGGCUGAGCGGAGAAGACCGGCCACUUCCACAGCCCCUCACGCCAUGGCCCUCCCGUGCCUCACACAGAGGCACCCCCCAUGGUGGGUGACUGGUGGCUGGGGCCCUCAGCAUGGUGGCAGUGACCAUCACGUCACACUGCAACACGAGGUCAUCCAGGGCCACACACCGUCCCCACCACGGCCCUCACAUCUGGGCCCUGUCCCAUCCCUACGCAGUUCCUGGGGCUGCCUGCCGGGGCCCCCGCAGGACGGGGGUGAGGACAAACAGCAGACCUCCUUGGAUGUGGAGGUACCCCACGGCGUCCCCCACCCCACACCUCUGCUCCUUUGGCUCCCUCGGGUGCCUUAGGUGGCCAGAACUCCACCAGCAACCCUCACCCAGGACCGCAGCUCUGGAGACGCCAGCUAGGCCGAGAGCUGGCCAGCUCCCCAAGCACACCAGAGCCUGGAGACGCUCCAGGCUUGGCUGGGCCCACAGAGGGGCCAGAGCCUCAGGGAGGGCUCCAGGAGCAGGGUUUCCAAGGAAGCCACUUUCCCUCUUGUCCACGGCCCAGGCAUUGAUGCCCCUCUGGGCAGCAGCCAGGGCCUCCCAAGCCGGGAAGGGUGGGCAUGGGGCUACCCAGCAUGGCUCUGCCAGGGGUGAGGGUGGCCACAGUCCCCUGCCCACAUCCCUGUGCCCACAGAAACAUAUGCUGUAUGGAAUCAAGGUUUAAGGCAUCUAGGCCUGUGCUGGUAACCUGUAACCUUAGCCCCAUCCCUGUGCCCACAGAAACAUGUGCUGUAUUGACUCAAGGUUUAGGGGAUUUAGGGCUGUGCAGGAUGUGCUUUGUUAACAAUGUGUUUGCAGGCAGUAUGCUUGGUAAAAGUCAUCGCCAUCCUCCAUUCUCCAUUAACCAGGGACACAGUGCACUGCGGAAAGCCGCAGGGACCUCUGCCCAAGAAAGCCUGGGUAUUGUCCAGGUUUCCCCCCAGUGAGACGGCCUGAGAUAUGGCCUCGUGGGAAGGGAAAGACCUGAUCGUCCCCCAGCCCGACACCCAUAAAGGGUCUGUGCUGAGGAGGAUUAGUGAAAGAGGGAGGCCUCUUUGCAGUUGAGAUAAGAGGAAGGCUUCUGUCUCCGACAUGCCCCUGGGAACGGAAUGUCUCCGUGUAAAACCCGAUCGUACAUUAGUUCUAUUCUGAGACAGGAGAAAACCGCCCUGUGGCUGGAGGCGAGAUAUGCUGGCGGCAAUGCUGCUCUGUUACUCUGCUACACUGAGAUGUUUGGGUGGAGAGAAGCAUGAAUCUGGCCUACGUGCACAUCCGGGCACAGCACCUUCCCUUCAAGCUAUUUGUGACACAGAUGCCUUUGCUCACAUUUUCUUGCUGACCUCUGCUCUGCUGCCGCAUUCCUCAUGCAAAGAUAGUGAAAAUGGUAAUGAAUAAAUACUGAGGGAACUCAGAGACCGGGG
rnacentral:lncRNA from 1 species